ACGCUAGCUACAGGCUUAACACAUGCAAGUCGAGGGGCAUCAGGAAGAAAGCUUGCUUUCUUUGCUGGCGACCGGCGCACGGGUGAGUAACACGUAUCCAACCUGCCCUUUACUCGGGGAUAGCCUUUCGAAAGAAAGAUUAAUACCCGAUAGUAUAAUGAUUCCGCAUGGUUUCAUUAUUAAAGGAUUCCGGUAAAGGAUGGGGAUGCGUUCCAUUAGGUUGUUGGUGAGGUAACGGCUCACCAAGCCUUCGAUGGAUAGGGGUUCUGAGAGGAAGGUCCCCCACAUUGGAACUGAGACACGGUCCAAACUCCUACGGGAGGCAGCAGUGAGGAAUAUUGGUCAAUGGGCGCUAGCCUGAACCAGCCAAGUAGCGUGAAGGAUGAAGGCUCUAUGGGUCGUAAACUUCUUUUAUAUAAGAAUAAAGUGCAGUAUGUAUACUGUUUUGUAUGUAUUAUAUGAAUAAGGAUCGGCUAACUCCGUGCCAGCAGCCGCGGUAAUACGGAGGAUCCGAGCGUUAUCCGGAUUUAUUGGGUUUAAAGGGAGCGUAGGUGGACUGGUAAGUCAGUUGUGAAAGUUUGCGGCUCAACCGUAAAAUUGCAGUUGAUACUGUCAGUCUUGAGUACAGUAGAGGUGGGCGGAAUUCGUGGUGUAGCGGUGAAAUGCUUAGAUAUCACGAAGAACUCCGAUUGCGAAGGCAGCUCACUGGACUGCAACUGACACUGAUGCUCGAAAGUGUGGGUAUCAAACAGGAUUAGAUACCAUGGUAGUCCACACAGUAAACGAUGAAUACUCGCUGUUUGCGAUAUACAGUAAGCGGCCAAGCGAAAGCAUUAAGUAUUCCACCUGGGGAGUACGCCGGCAACGGUGAAACUCAAAGGAAUUGACGGGGGCCCGCACAAGCGGAGGAACAUGUGGUUUAAUUCGAUGAUACGCGAGGAACCUUACCCGGGCUUAAAUUGCAGUGGAAUGAUGUGGAAACAUGUCAGUGAGCAAUCACCGCUGUGAAGGUGCUGCAUGGUUGUCGUCAGCUCGUGCCGUGAGGUGUCGGCUUAAGUGCCAUAACGAGCGCAACCCUUAUCUCUAGUUACUAACAGGUUAUGCUGAGGACUCUAGAGAGACUGCCGUCGUAAGAUGUGAGGAAGGUGGGGAUGACGUCAAAUCAGCACGGCCCUUACGUCCGGGGCUACACACGUGUUACAAUGGGGGGUACAGAAGGCAGCUAGCGGGUGACCGUAUGCUAAUCCCAAAAGCCUCUCUCAGUUCGGAUCGAAGUCUGCAACCCGACUUCGUGAAGCUGGAUUCGCUAGUAAUCGCGCAUCAGCCACGGCGCAGUGAAUACGUUCCCGGGCCUUGUACACACCGCCCGUCAAGCCAUGGGAGCCGGGGGUACC
rnacentral:rRNA from 1 species